GAACAUUUUAUGCCUGUCAACACUUCAUAUAGUAAAAAACAAAAAUGAAAUAUAUAAAUUACAUUUGUAUGCUAAAUUUCUAGCAAAAAGCAAUUACAUUAUUUUUUAAUGCCACAUUCAAAUCAUUGACUGAUUAUUACAUCUUGAAAUUCAUUCAAGACUCAACUAGGAAGUUUCCACAUCUGUGGUAGAGGCAACAAGAAAAUUCAAAUAGGAAAAGGAUGCCCAGGUCUAAACAACAAGAAAAUUCAAAUAGGAAAAGGAUGCCCAGAUCUAAACAUCAAGAAAAUUUCUGAGGCAUGGAAUAUGGACUCUGAAUAAGUAAAUUACUUUUAUUAUAUAUAAAUUCAUUGCAGACAUUUCAGAAAUAUUCUGGAAUUGAAACAAAAACAUCUAACUAAAAGAGCAUUGAAGUUUGGCAUGAUUUGUGAUUUUUUCAUUGAAUUAUACAUUGCUCUUAGAAAUACAUGAGUUUCUUCUAAUUGGAUACUAAAUGGAAAGUCAUUCCAUGCUUAUUAUAGGCUGCCUAACACCAUAAUAUAGGUCAGAAGCUAGAUGAACAAUGAGACUGGAUCCCUUCUGAAAAAAUCUGGGGUUAUUGGACUUAGAAUUAAUUACCAUUACUCCAGAGGGAAUCACAAUAAUAACGAAGUAAUUCAAAGCACUGAAUUGCAGUCUAAUACCGUAUAUAGCAGUAACGUUUCUUUACCUAUUGUAAUGUCUGUUACCCAUUUAAUAUGCUUCUAUGUGACAGCCAAUUGACCAUUCAGUCAACUAGCUGCUGUUGUUGCAAAAGUAAUGAUAGUGACUGACAUAACUACCGAUUUUAAUUGUAAUAUUGAAUAAUGAGUGAACCACUCAUUAUUCUAUGUAGUCUGAUGUAAUAAGUGUAACUGUCAUAGUUGGGGACUUCCUAUACUACGCUGUAAGCUAAAUUAGUAUGACAGCUUUUAAAACUUAUUGUAUGUUAAUAUUUUUUACAUCUAGUUUAAAAGUCAAAUUUAUGUAAACGGG
rnacentral:lncRNA from 1 species